rnacentral:rRNA from 1 species
AACGAACGCUGGCGGCAUGCCUAACACAUGCAAGUCGAACGGAUGUAGCAAUACAUUAGUGGCGCACGGGAUAGUAACGCGUGGGAAUCUGCCUCAUAGUUCGGAAUAACACCGGGAAACUGGUGCUAAUACCGGAUACGCCCUUCGGGGGAAAGUUUUUCGCUAUGAGAGGAGCCCGCGUUGGAUUAGCUAGUUGGUGAGGUAAUGGCUCACCAAGGCGACGAUCCAUAGCUGGUCUGAGAGGACGAUCAGCAUCACUGGGACUGAGACACGGCCCAGACUCCUACCGGAGGCAGCAGUGGGGAAUAUUGGACAAUGGGGGAAACCCUGAUCCAGCAAUGCCGCGUGGGUGAUGAAGGUCUUCGGAUUGUAAAGCCCUUUUGGCAGGGACGAUGAUGACGGUACCUGCAGAAUAAGCUCCGGCUAACUUCGCGCCAGCCGCCGCGGUAA